UGCAUGCUUUGAAUAAAGAUAGGUAUGUAUUAAUUCAUCUAAGUUGAGGUAAGAACAAAGUAAAAUAUUGAAAAAUUGUGGUGUUUUCCUUUAAAUUACAGUUAGCUUUGGCUGUCUUUUCUGAGUAAAUUCUGUUUUAAAGGAAGGUACAUUGUUUUCGCAUUGUGAGACAUGUAGCCUAGUUUCAAGUACUACACAUCCUUCAUGAAAGCACUUUUUAUCUUCAAAGCAAAUUGGUCUUUAAAGUUUCCGAAAUGCCUGUUUGGUUUUCAUCAUCAAGUGUCUACAAAGUUUGUUUGGGUUUUUUUGUCUGCAACUCAAUUAUGAUUGUGAAACUUUGCAUAUGUGAGCAAUAAUCAUAGAGGGUUUUGUGCUGCAUUUCGACAACAUGUCAAAUAUUCAAACAAAUGUAAAAGAUAAUAUGUUACCGUGUCUGUGAAGUCCAGGCUAAAGUCUCAUAAUCUAUUUAUGAGAUUAGGAGCAUCAUUGAUUUCACAUUCAUUUCAAUCUUACUCAGUCAAUAUUAAAGAUAUCAAGGUUAUAUUUUCACAGAAUGUUCAUGUAGGAUGAUUUUAUGUGGAAAACAGUAAAUCACUUAAAGGACCCACCAUUUAAUAUUUUAUUAUUUUCUUACCAUAAUUUAGAUUAAUACAUACCUUAUUUAAUGCAUGCACUUAAUCUUUGUACAGCGCAUCGUGCAUGUGUUAGCAUUAAGCCCUAUUCAUUCCUUAGGAUCCAAACAGGUUUCCAAACUUAGUUUGCAGCUAAGGCACGCAGUAACAUCAUCACUCCUUACUACUCUCACCGCUCAAACUUUCAUCAAUAUUACUGCGCACCGAGGUCAAAGUGCUGCAAACUAAGUGCUCUUCCGCCAUACAAUAUAGUUUUCAUUUUUUAUCUGCUUAAAAAAUCGCCAUGUUUUAUUUUGUGCCACCAUACUUACUGGUGUAACUACUCAUGUAACAAUCUUUAAAUAAAGAAAACAUGGAAGUGUUUGGUGGCUUCUAAAUUCAUCCCUGUUUGGAUCCUAAGGAAUGAAUGGGGCUAGGCUAAAUGCUAACCCUUUCACAACGUGCUGUACAAAGAUUAAGUGCAUGCAUUGAAUAAAUAUAGGUAUGUAUUAAUUUGUCUAAGUUAAGGUAAGAACAUAGCAAAAUAUUGAAAAACUGUGGUGUUUUCCUUUAAAAGACUUUAGCUGGGUUUUCACAGACUGGGUCACAUAUUUGGUCCCAAUUACGCCCCAAAAGUUGACUUGAAAAAAGCAUAAUUAUUUUAUGCAUAAUGAAAAAUAUUUUAUCAAGCUUGUGUGCUAAAGAAAUUUACUGUAUGUAUUUCACUGGUGCUUUUAUAUAGAUCUCUUGAAACCUGAGAUCUCAUUUCAUGUAUUUGUAUUGCUGCAUAAUGCAUUUUUAUUUAAAGAAAAAUUCUGUUUUGUACAAACGUUUAUUUGGGUGCAUAGAAUGAAAAGGUCAACUAUGAUACUCAAUGACUUUAUUUAUAGGCCUAAUGAACCUAUUGGCUUAAGUAAAACUUAAGGUUUACAGUACAUUUGGUUUAAAGUGAACAUCAUUUUUUUAAGGUGCUAAAGAGUGUGUACAUCAGUGUUUAAAACCAUUGUACACUCAAAAUGCUGUUCGUAUAGGCACUUGAAACAACAUCUUUUUCAUAUAAGUUGUGAGAAAUAGAACACAUCAGUUAGUACUCUAGUUGCAGAGAUAGAUAAGCUCUAUGAUAACCCAAUGUGAACCUACAGUAUGUUUUGGGCAACUUGAAGUCACAGAGUGGCAUGGGUAAAUGCACGCUACUUUUUCUGAACAACAAUACUGUUGUUUUUGUGUAAAACCAUCAUGUGUAACAAAACCAGAUUAUUAUGUAGCCCUGAGUGUUAAUAUAGCUCAGGGUGAUUGUUUCAACUCUCAUAAGUGGUGCUUGUGCAUAGUACUGGAUAAGCAUGCAUUGACAAAUCUCACGUAGGUGCUACACUAGUUUGAAUUAUGUGCUAUUUGGGGAAUGUUUUACUUAUCUUACAUUAUCAGAUCAUGCUGGUGGUUGUUAACUGUGCACCACAAAUAAUACUAUGACCUCCCCAUUGUAAUCGGUUAAAAUUGAAACAUCAUUACUAUCUGCUGGGUCCAUUGAAUUUUUACUAGAGAAUUACCGAUGCAAUUUGUUUCAAAGAUCACACGUUUUAUGCAUUGUUUUAAGAUAUUGUUUUCCAUGAAUUUGUUUUGUACUGUCACUGUUCAAAAUUAUUUGUUUAAAUCUGAUUAUUUGUUUGUAGGCCGAUCUGGAUGGCUAAUCUGCUAUUCAUUACCCCGGGAAUGUUUGUUGUUUUUGUUAUUUUCAGUUUAUAAGUACAUCAUUUUGUUUUACAAUAUAAAUAACGUCAUAGAAUUUUGGUUGUGUGCUUUAAAAAAGUUUACAAUACAAAAAAAUGAACAUCAGACAUCCAUUGUGGUCCUUGUUUAUAUUUACUCAUAUUCAUUUGACAUAUGGGUCAAUGACAUGACAUGCAUUUUUUUUUGGUCUGAAGGCAUUAUGUACUAUAAAAAUAACUUGAUACAUUUAUGACAUGUGUCACUUUAUUACAUAAAACCCAUUUAGUUUAAAUACAUUUUCAGGAUUUUUUAAUAAUAAAUGCAAAUGUUUGCUCAAACUAUAUACAAAUGACCAGUUUUUGACAACUAUUAAAAAUGGUGUUUACAUUUUUAAAAGAUGAAAUACUUUUUAAUGUUCAAAACUUAAGCGAAUUUCACGAAUAUCAGUAGUUGUUGUGAUGUUAGGAUAAUUGAAAAACGUUUGUCCAACAAUUUGGAUGUUCUCAAAUCAACCGCAAUCAUUAAGAAUAUUAUAUUAACCAAAGGCUCAGUCCAUUGCUCACGUCUUGCUUUUGAAACACAUAGAGAAGCUACGGUAGCCACCACCGGACAAACAUGUCAUCGCCGAAUACAACUUAGUAAAAAAGUUUGUCCGUUAAGAGCUUCUGUAGAAAAAUGUAAGGGGACCCUCGGUGUAUGUAGAUAAAAAAUUCUCAUUCUAAGGUAAUAAAUACAUAACAGUUCAUUAUAAAAGGUCUUUAUACACCUUUGAUAAUAUAGUUUUGUAUAUUAUUUUGCAUUUCUGUCAAGAGAUUCUUUUAAAAAUUACACACUGCACCUUUAAGAAGUAACAAAUAUUAAUAGUAAACAUGUUAUCACAUCAUCCAGUGAACCGCAGUUGGUCUUUAUAGCUGAAUGAAAAGUUUGUAAAUUUCUCUCAAAUACAAAAAAAAUAGUAAUGUGUGCUGGUACACGUUCUGUGUCAGGUGGUACAACCAAUGCUAGAAAAAUGCUAUUUAUCAAACAUUUUAAUAAAAAUGAUAAUUAUGAAUUUGAUAUCACAGGUAAAAGCAUCCGUGUAGAAGUGUGUUAAAUGUAAAUUCAUUGCAGUGGUCAGGAGGUGCAACAAAAAAGUCAAAUGGUGCUACUGCUUUAAACGCCUCUAUCAAAUAAAAAAACAUUAAGCGAAAUAAUUUUAAUAAGAUAAUAAUUUAGCUACUAUUUUCAUUGCAAGCUAAAGAGUUUUUAAUUGUUAUUAUACAUUUUUUAAAUUAUUGUUCUUAAAUUUAUAGUUAUCAAAUGUAAGUUUAAUGUUAAAGUUGUUUUACAUUUUAACACUAUUUUCAGGAUUAUACAUUUACAUGGCACUAAACAAACAAUCAGCAUGACACAGGCAUUGCAUUAAAACUUAUCUGGCAAAUAGAAAAUGAUUGGUUGUACCACCUGACAUUUUUUAAAGGGGAUAUCAAAAGUAUUUAAAAAAUAUAUUAUUAAAAUGUAUUGAAUUUGUCAAAAAACAAAACUUUUGCCCCUGACUCAAAAAUAUGCAUUACAUUCAUUUAUAAAAGAUAAAAAAAUACUUUUGUCAUUGACCCAUACACUUUUAUCCAAAGCAACAGUGCAGACGAUUUCAAUUUUUUAUUUGUGUUCCCUGUAAAUCCAACCACAACCUGCAGUUUUAGUGCAAUGCUUAAUCAAUUAAACUAUACUAUUGGAAUACAUUGUGGUGUUGUAUUCUUAUAUUGAACUAUAUGAAUACUACAAUGUUGCAACAUGUAUGACUUUGUGUCAUUAUUCCUAAAACCACAGUCUGUGUUUUGAUCAUAAGUUGAAACUACUGCUAUUAUAACCUAAAAGAAAGAGAAAACCCCAAAUACCAAGUUUUGACCACGGCUCUUUUACAUAUAACUUAUAUAAACCAGCUCAUUUGCGUGAAAAGCAACAUUCUAAAAACUGAAUGUGAAUUAAAAAUUGUUACAUUCCAUUUCCACCUGAUAUAUUUACCUGACUAUUCACAUUGGAAAUAUUCUGCAUGUUUCUCUCCGUGUAGUCUUUGGUUUUCCUCUUUCUCAGGUAGUCGCUGUGCUCUAAUGUAAUUUUGAACAAGCUUUUUCACACUGUCUUCCAAUUAAACACACAAAAAUGUACAUUUACUUUUUUUUAAACUAAAAUUGGUUUCUCUUAUCUCAUGUUCAUUUAUAUAAAGAGUUUGGCAUUAUGAUCUAUAUUAGGUGAAUGUCUAAGGUUAUAAAGCUGAAGUAUGUAAUCUACACCAAUAGUCACUAAACUGAAAUAUUUGUACAAACACUUAACCCACCUGCAAUUGGUCAGACAAACAGAUAAUCAUGUCUCAAACUUACACUAAAAGCCAAUGUUGCUGUGUUGGGUUGGUUGGGAUGCUCAAACAAACAGGUCAAUGUACUCAUAGCAGCACAAAGCCACAGUGUUGAAUUCAGCCAACAGAUCACCUAAUAAGUAUAAAAAAUUACACACUUCAGCUUUAAGUAUGAAUGUAAGCUGUGUUAUAUAAUUUUACACCAUUUUUUUUUAAAGCAAACAAGAUCAUGACUUUAAAACUUACUGUAUUCAUUCUUUGUGUGACUUGAAAUGAAAAAAGCACCAGCUUUUUGGAUUUUUCUUUUAGAAAAUAAAAUGCACAGUACAGUUGUGA